rnacentral:rRNA from 1 species
CUGACUGAUUCUGUUUUGUAGCGCGUCUUGUGUUGACCUGCAACCCAGCAGCCACGCGGCAUGGCCCUGUAUAUUUUUAGCUGAAGACCGAGCUGCAUGCUCACUAUUCUUCCGCCGGUGCUUCUGACGAGGGCCAUCCGUUCCUCGCUACAGACUUUCAGAGGUUAGUGCUCUCCCUCACUUAAUUUCAGUCCAUUAUUGUUUGCUUUAGUAACCGGUUGACGGAAUUAUAUGAGCGCAGCUGUAGUCGUCCAAUCUCACAACCCCUCUACCGAGAUAGUACUAACUCAGGCCCGCUCGGAAACAAUUCCUAAUCCUAUGGGGUGUGGGUUGGGUGGCGUACUGGGAUGCAAUCCUGAUUUCCCUAUUUUUCUCUCUAGUCUCACGUGUUUGCAUCAGGGGCUUUUACGUUCAAAAGCAACGAAAUUUCCCCUCCCAGCCCAUGCGUUAAUACUGAUGCAAAAAACUAUACACCCUAUAUCAAGUAGCGGAGGGAGUAUAUUGUUGAGUAGUGGGUGCCAGUACAAGGGGUUAGCAAUUAUCACUAAUCAUAUAUCUUAUAUAAUUAAGUAGGUGAUUAUCAUUCACAUUUUUUCCUUAGCAUGUAAUGAUGCGACCUCAACAUACAACCCUGCUUAAAAAAAUGUUCGCUUAAACAUGCAACCAUGCAUGAAAUGUUUUCACCACUUAUAUUCAAAAAAUAUUUUAUAAAUAUGUAACAAUCAAAUAUAAUAAAUCAUGUGUGUGUGUGUGUGUAUGUAACAAAUCAAGUCUGAUAUAAUGAAUAUUUAUAAAUAUUCAGUUUCAGUUCUCAAGAUAUUAAUCUGAAUUUUCAUGUUCCACUUGAAUCGGAAAUCUUGUAUUCUUCACAUACAACUAAAUCUUAUUGAAAUAUAUUACAACUGAUUCCCACGGCAACAUGUAGCGUGUCAUCUACUCCCUCCGUCCCAUAAUAUAACGUUUUUGACACUAGUGUAGUGUCAAAAACAUUUUUAUAUUAUGGGACAGAGGGAGUAGUUAACAAGCACUGGUUAUGCUCGCAUCAACAACCUCAUCAUGUCGCCUUCAUGGUGUGUUUGUGUUGUUGGUCCCGGGCCGCUGGUUGGCCAACGCCACUUGGCUCCAUGGAUUAGCAUGAGGCCGUUGUCCUGACAAAGAGGCGCACUAGAUUCAACGGGCACAAAUCCGUAGGCACCGCCCGUAUUUUUUCUUUCAAGUUUCAGCCACCAGUGCAACGCAUUGAUCUCCAUGACUAAGACUAGCCACAGUGGGAGUAACUUCGGUAGUAACAUCGAGUCCAACUCAGCAAUUUUGCUUAUAUGGCAAUGAGUUAAUGAGGAGAGAUGUAGUACUAGUAACUUAGCUAGUUACUGUAACAUCACAUGUCUCAAUGCAAUAUGAGUCUAUAACGUAAUAAAUGAAGCUUUGCAUGUUACCACACUUAUGUUACUACCCACUAUUGAGGUAGUAACAUAGAGUAGUAACAUGGACAUGUUACUAUUCUAUGUUACUAUCCAUUGUGGCUAGUCUAAAACGUCUAUGUUUCCCCUCAAUCAAUUUCUUGGAUGAUUGAUCCGAGUUAGUUUGGUGCCAAUGGGAGAGUCAACAUUGACUACCAUCGUCGUCUUUUGUUGUUGUUCCGCUCCAGCCGAAGCUUGAGACAUGAUUCGAAAGACAACUUGCUUUCGUUUUCAUCUUUGCAUGCAACGUCAGUGAGCUUGGGUAGCCAAGCCCAUUCAUCCAGGGCCCCAUCGAAGUUAAUUGCAUUAUUCAAUUGAUUGCAUCUGAAUCUGACUGCUCCUAUACUUGUGUACAUCCUAGUUAGAGCUCAUUUUGGGAGUAUAUAACAAAAAACUACCAUAUUACAGGCUAUCGCUAAAAAAACUACCGCUUUUUUUAAUUUUUCAAAAUGCUACCAUAAUUUUGGUUGGUUGUUCCAAAAAACUACCAUGUUGCACUAAUGACCGUGUUAGUUAAUUUCAAUCGCGUUUAUAACAGAUUGGGUCCACUCGUCAGCUUUGACCGCUAGUUGACUGUUUGUUUGACCGUUACUUACAUGUGGGACCCACAUGUUAGCUCUCUCUUCCUCCCUAAUCUCUUUGUUCUCUCCCUCUCCUUCCCUGAACUCUCUCUCCUAAGCCAUGGCCAGCACCAAGGCCGGCGCAGCAGCCGCGGCAAGGACAGUGAGAAGCAGCAGCAGAAGUGGCAGUGGGCAGCUGUGGCGAGAAUAGAAGCUGCAAGGGCAGCGAGCAAGCAGCAGCAGCAGCGCAUACAGCGCCGGCGAGCAGGGGAGCAGCAGCAGCCGUGAGCAGGGGAGCAGCGCCAGUGAGCAGCAGCAGCUGUCAGCGGCACGCAGCGGCGGCAGUGGGGAGCAUUGCCGGUGAACAGCAGCAGCCGCGAGCGGCAUGCAACGGCGGCGCUGGGGCAGCGCCGUCAUGGAGCAGCAGCCGCGAACGGCACGCAGCGGCGGCAACGGGGAGCUGCGCCGGCGAGCGGCACGCGGCGGUGGCGUGGAGCAGCAGCCGCGAGCGGCACGCAACGGCGGCGUUGGGGCAGCGCCGUCAUGGAGCAGCAGCCGUGAGCGGCACACAACGGCGGCGUUGGGGCAGCGCCGUCAUGGAGCAGCAGCCGCGAGCGGCACGCAGCGGCGGCAACGUGGAGCUUCGCCGGCAACAUGAAUAGAUAAAAGAGGGAGCACCUCGCCAGUGAACUUCGUUUUGUAUUAUUAGUACAAAAAAUGCAGAGAAGGACGAAAACGGCGUGGCAUCUUCUGCUGUAAACGUAGUAGCGAUCCAGCAUUGAUCACUAUGUGUAGUAGUGUUUGCACUAUUUGCCUGACCGUCCCAUGCCACCCACACGGUUGGUGGGCGUGGGCGUGGCGUGCGACCACCUUGCUUUCUUGCAUCGCACCGGCCAUCACGAGCUGCAGGCGCAGCGGCCAUGGAGAAGCUCGGGGCGAACCCGGCCAACUCCUGCCCGCUCACGCCGCUGGGCUUCCUGGAGCGUGCCGCCACCGUGUUCGGCGACUGCCCCUCCGUCGUCUACCGCGGCACCGUCUUCACCUGGUCCCAGACCUACCGCCGCUGCCUCCGCCUCGCCUCCGCGCUCGACGUCGUGUCCGUGCUGCUGCCGAACGUGCCGGCCAUGUACGAGGCGCACUUCGGCGUGCCAAUGAGCGGCGCCGUGCUCAACACCAUCAACACGCGCCUCGACGCGCGCACGAUCGCCGCCGGGCCACGCCGCACCGCGCGUCGUGCUCGUCGAGGAUACCCACGACCACGAGAAGGAUCGGUUCCCUCCCGCUCCCGCCACGGAUCUGACGUACGAGAGGCUCCUCGAGAUGGCGGAUCCGGAGUUCAAGUGGGUCCGGCCGACCAGCGAGUGGGACCCGAUGGUGCUCAACUACACCUCCGGCACCACGGCUGCGCCCAAGCGGGUCGUGCACUGCCACCGCGGCAUCUUCGUGGUCACCAUGGUGUCGCUUGUGGACUGGGCGGUGCCGCCGCGGCCGACGUUCCUGUGGACGCUGCCCAUGUUCCAUGCCAAUGGGUGGAGCUUCCCUUGGGGAAUGGCCGUCGUCGGGGGCACCAACGUCUGCCUCCGCCGCGUCGACGCCAAGAAUGUCUACGCCGCCAUCACGGAUCACGAGAUCACACACCUCUGUGGCGCGCCCGUCGUGCUCAGCAUGCUGGCCAACGCGCCGGAGGGUGUACGCAAGCCUCUGCACAGUAAGGUACGGAUCAUGACUGCCGGCUCGCCGCCGCCUGCUGCGGUGCUGCAUCGUGUUGAGGCAUUGGGCUUUGAGCUCAGCCAUGGGUACGGGCUAACAGAGACUGGAGGCCACGUCGUGUCGUGCGCGUGGAAGGGCGAGUGGAACAAGCUGCCGGCGUCGGAGCGCGCGCGGCUCAAGGCGAGGCAGGGCGUGCGCACGCCCGGCAAGGCCGAGGUGGACAUCGUCGACGCCGACACAGGCCGCAGCGUGCCCCGAGAGGGCUCCACGAUGGGCGAGAUCGUGCUCCGCGGCGGGUGCAUCAUGCUGGGCUACCUCAACGACAGCGAGGCGACAAAGGCGGCGAUUCGGGACGACGGGUGGUUCUACACGGGGGACGUGGGCGUGAUGCACCCGGACGGGUACCUGGAGAUCCGCGACCGGUCCAAGGACGUGAUCAUCAGCGGCGGCGAGAACAUCAGCAGCGUGGAGGUGGAAUCCAUGCUCUACGGCCGCCCGGCGGUGAGCGAGGCGGCGGUGGUGGCGCGGCCGGACGAGUUCUGGGGGGAGACACCGUGCGCGUUCGUGAGCCUGAAGGAAGACGCGGCGGGCACGGUGACCACGGCCGAGGUCAUGGCAUGGAGCCGGGAGCGCAUGGCGGGGUACAUGGUGCCCAAGACCGUGGUGUUCCGCGCCGAGCUGCCCAAGACGUCCACCGGCAAGGUCAAGAAGUACGUGCUGCGGAAGCUCGCCAUGGAGAUGGGCCCCACUUGCAGGGUUAGCAGCAGCAGCAGCAGCAAGAUGUAGUGUACGGCAUGGCAAUGGGCAAAGGGUUUGUUCUAAAUUUUGAUCCCUUUUCCUUUGCGUGUGGGCAAAGUGCUACUCUACAACAUUUUUCGCGUCAUUAUCACGUUUUGUAAAGGCAUUGACAUGGUGGACUGCUUUUCACGCCCCACCAAUUGAAUAAAAUUGUGCUUCGAG